UACGUAGGGGGCAAGCGUUGUCCGGAAUCAUUGGGCGUAAAGAGCGUGUAGGCGGUUCGGUAAGUCCGUCGUGAAAGUCCAGGGCUCAACCCUGGAAAGCCGAUGGAUACUGCCGGACUAGAGUCCGGAAGAGGAGAGUGGAAUUCCUGGUGUAGCGGUGAAAUGCGCAGAUAUCAGGAAGAACACCCGUGGCGAAGGCGGCUCUCUGGGACGGUACUGACGCUGAGGUGCGAAAGCGUGGGGGAGCAAACAGG
rnacentral:rRNA from 1 species